GUGGGGAAUAUUGGGCAAUGGGCGCAAGCCUGACCCAGCAACGCCGCGUGAAGGAAGAAGGCUUUCGGGUUGUAAACUUCUUUUACCAGGGACGAAACAAAUGACGGUACCUGGUGAAUAAGCCACGGCUAACUACGUGCCAGCAGCCGCGGUAAUACGUAGGUGGCGAGCGUUAUCCGGAUUUAUUGGGUGUAAAGGGCGUGUAGGCGGGACAGCAAGUCAGAUGUGAAAACCAGAGGCUCAACCUCUGGCCUGCAUUUGAAACUGUUGUUCUGGAGUGUCGGGGAGGGAAUCGGAAUUCCGUGUGUAGCGGUGAAAUGCGUAGAUAUACGGAGGAACACCAGUGGCGAAGGCGGAUUACUGGACGAUAACUGACGCUGAGGCGCGAAAGCGUGGGGAGCAAACAGGAUUAGAUACCCGUGUAGUCC
rnacentral:rRNA from 1 species